GAGUUUGAUCUUGGCUCAGAACGAACGCUGGCGGCAGGCCUAACACAUGCAAGUCGAACGCUCCAGCAAUGGAGAGUGGCAGACGGGUGAGUAACACGUGGGAACCUUCCCUAUGGUUCGGAAUAGCUCAGGGAAACUUGGGGUAAUACCGGAUAAGCCCUUCGGGGGAAAGAUUUAUCGCCAUUGGAUGGGCCCGCGUCGGAUUAGCUAGUUGGUGAGGUAACGGCUCACCAAGGCGACGAUCCGUAGCUGGUCUGAGAGGAUGAUCAGCCACACUGGGACUGAGACACGGCCCAGACUCCUACGGGAGGCAGCAGUGGGGAAUAUUGGACAAUGGGCGCAAGCCUGAUCCAGCCAUGCCGCGUGAGUGACGAAGGUCUUCGGAUUGUAAAGCUCUUUUGUCAGGGAGAAAAGGCUGUGGCUAAUAUCCACAGCUGCUGACGGUACCUGAAGAAUAAGCACCGGCUAACUACGUGCCAGCCGCCGCAGUAAG
rnacentral:rRNA from 1 species